rnacentral:tRNA from 1 species
UGCCGGCCUAGCUCAAUUGGUAGAGCAACUGACUUGUAAUCAGUAGGUUGGGGGUUCAAGUCCUCUGGCCGGCAUCC